CCUUGGAACUGAAGAUCCUCUCCCUAGAAAGCAAUGGAAAAAAUCCCGUCUGUCACCCCAGAGCAAACCACCUAUUAUUAUCUUAAUCCCAUUUUACUGAUAAGAAAACUCAGUGAAGUUAAAAAAAAUAUAAAAGAAAAAUAGAGUAGGGAUGGUUAGAUCUCCGUAAGUUUUCACUAAAAAAUAACCCCUUUUAUACAUAAAUGUAUGAUUCAAUUUACAGAAAUUCAACUGAUCAGUUUUUGCUUCCUAUGAAUAAGGAUUCUUUAAUGCAAACUGCCUCACAAUUUUUAGGUUUCUUUAUCACUAGUUCCCUGGGAAACAGAAAUUUACAUUGGUUGCUAAGUCAACUUUUCAGAUAGCCCUUAAGAUCUCUUUAAAGGGUAACCCACCCUUUGGGCUUCUGAAUAAAACUCCAGCCGUUUGUUGGGAGUCUGAAGCUUCCUGGCUCUUUGGGCUCUGCUUCAGCCCUACCCUGCACUCUGUAACUGAGGUCCUCGGGACAAAACCGGCGGAAGGGAAAAAAAUGCAACAACUCCCUGGAAGGGUGCUCAAGAAGACUUUGGGCUGCAAACUCCACACCACUAAGCUUCAUCUCUGCAGUCUCAUCGUUUACUAUUAUUUCCUCUUGACUCUGCUUGUGUUACCAGCAUGCAAAGCCCAUCACUUUAAAAUCUGGGUCCUCCAACUUCACUGGACUGCUCGCUCUCACUUCUGCUUUGAGGAGUUUUAAUAAAGGCCUUUUCAUGUUUAUUUCUCAGGCCUUCCCCAAAUACAAAACUGUCAGUGUCCCCUGCCCCUUCCAAGUCCAAGAUAUCAACUUCAAACCUUCGUAGCAACUAAGUGAGCGUUUGUUAAGAACUUGAGUGAAUUUAUGGCAGCCCAGGCCUGUGUUUGGGAGACUGCAAACUCCAAAGCAAAACCGCUGAAUUUAUGUUCUCUUGAGACGGUAAAACCACAAACACAAGCAGGGCAAAGAACCCACCAUCCUCUCCAGCUUUCCUUCCACAUCUUGGUUCAGUAGUAAGACAAGUGAGUCCACUCCCUCAGGCAAGUGCAGCCUCCUCACGGUCAGGCUCACCUAAAACAUCCGCUGCAUCAUCGCAUCCAAGCCCAACUCCGUUACUGAGGCAACCGGCUUUUUCUUCCCCCAGGGUCACAGAGAAGCACACCCCUCGGGAUCCCCUGGCCGCGAGGGCACCGGCGCGCCGGAGAGCCACCCUGGAGCAGCAAUCCUUAGGCCACCGGCGGCGGGGGCACCCGCAGUCGGGCUCUGCAGGGGACCGGGAGGAAGGGAGAGGGGAGAGGGGGUGGGGGGGGAGGGUGCCUGCCUACCCCCGCACCCCACCCCCACCNNNNNNNCCCCUGCGCGGCCCCUCCCCCGUCACAUGGGCUCCAGAGCACCUGUUGGCGACCUCAGCCCCUAGCGGAGCCCCUCCCGCCGGCCCGGGCAACUCCCCCGCCCGCACCCCCACCCCCAGCGGGAAGGGAUAGGAACGCUGCCCGGUUCUAGCUCUGCCAAACCCGCUUCGCCCCAGGAGGGCGUGGGGGGCCGUUGGGCGACCCCUGCCCAGCUGCUCAGCUUUGCAAAGUGCAAAAGCGCGCUGGCCCGGCGCAGCGAUCUGCAGGAGGGGCUCCUGCCCGCCCCCGACCCCCCUCCACGUGCCCCUCUCUCCCGGGCGGAGCGGCGAGAUGGGGUGCCCCCGCCCCCUGCCCGACUCCACUGGAAACCUGGGCUCCGCGCGGGCGCGG
rnacentral:lncRNA from 1 species